AGCAAAGCUUGAGGGAGGAGAACACAGCUGAGUCAGAGCUUAUCCAUCAUUGGUUGCUGAGCCUCACUGAGAGUAUGUUGUCUGCUGAGAACAAGAUUUACCUGGAGACUGAAAAUUGAAUUGAUCAUGGGUGAGGCAAGUUAGUAAGGUAAAUUCCCCAAACUGGAAUUUACACCAUGCACUCUCAUUGAAUUACACCACCAGCUUUCCUGGGCCUACAGGUUGCGGACAGCAGGUCAUGGGACAUCUCAGCCUCCAUAAUCAUGAGUGGGAAGAAAAAGAAAAAACAAUUGUUCUCCUUGGUGUGUUGGAUCUUGGGCGGAUAAAGGAACUUCAACUCCUUCGGUGAGAUGGUAGCAGCAGAGAGGUCAGAGAGACCUUGAGGCUUUGUCUUCAGUUGAGCAUGUCAAAACACCAUAUUUUGAUGUUUCUGAGUCCCAACAUGGGAAGUAAGAAGUGUGUUCUACAUUUAGAAUAGAGAAAAAUGUAAUAAAAUUUAAGAAGUACCUACAUAUAUAAGCUACAAUUUUAUUAAAGUGCUG
rnacentral:lncRNA from 1 species